CGAAACUGGCAACCCCGCCAGGGCGAAAACGGAGUGAGCGAAUCUGUAACGGAACAGGCGAACGAUGCGAGAAACGUCAAGAGUAGAUGAUUGCAAUAACGUACCUUCACGUAUCAAUGCGAUGACGAUGUAGUUUUGGUGCAUGGCACAAUUUUAGUAUAUUUUCCAUAAAUCACGUUCAGGAUAGUGUAGAAUUUUUCUUUUGCAAUAGACUAGUGGCAGGUCUUAGGUGUACUGAUCACCCAAAACCCUAUAUUUCAUAACCUGAAUUCAUGGAACUAUAGUUGUUUCAUUCAUUUCCAGAAGUGAACUAAUACUUCUUAUUUCCUUAAUUGUUAAUACUAAUGGGCUAUUCUUUCAUAGUUCGUAAGGUUUGAGCGAAGACACAUUCAUUGUUGGGAAUAACCGUUGAAAACCAUUAACGCACUGAAAUUGUAAGUGAAAAUUUAGUUUGCUCGAUAUGAUCCUCACUGAUAAAUAAAUAUUCUGAUUUUAGCUUGUAGCUAAUGCUAACGAGA